rnacentral:rRNA from 1 species
UCUGUUUGAUCCUGCCAGAGGUUACUGCUAUCGGUGUUCGACUAAGCCAUGCAAGUCAUAUGUUCCUCGUGAACAUGGCAUACUGCUCAGUAACACGUGGAUAACCUGCCCUUGGGUCUGGGAUAACCCCGGGAAACUGGGGAUAAUACCGGAUAACGCAUAUGUGCUGGAAUGCUUUAUGCGUAAAACGGAUUCGUCCGCCCAAGGAUGGGUCUGCGGCCUAUCAGGUAGUAGUGGGUGUAAUGUACCUACUAGCCAACAACGGGUACGGGUUGUGAGAGCAAGAGCCCGGAGAUGGAUUCUGAGACAUGAAUCCAGGCCCUACGGGGCGCAGCAGGCGCGAAAACUUUACAAUGCGGGAAACCGUGAUAAGGGAACACCGAGUGCCAGCAUCAUAUGCUGGCUGUCCAGAUGUGUAAAGUACAUCUGUUAGCAAGGGCCGGGCAAGACCGGUGCCAGCCGCCGCGGUAACACCGGCGGCCCGAGUGGUGACCGUUAUUAUUGGGUCUAAAGGGUCCGUAGCCGGUUUGGUCAGUCCUCCGGGAAAUCUGAUAGCUUAACUGUUAGGCUUUCGGGGGAUACUGCCAGGCUUGGAACCGGGAGAGGUAAGAGGUACUACAGGGGUAGGAGUGAAAUCUUGUAAUCCCUGUGAGACCACCUGUGGCGAAGGCGUCUUACCAGAACGGGUUCGACGGUGAGGGACGAAAGCUGGGGGCACGAACCGGAUUAGAUACCCGGGUAGUCCCAGCCGUAAACUAUGCUCGCUAGGUGUCAGGCAUGGCGCGACCGUGUCUGGUGCCGCAGGGAAGCCGUGAAGCGAGCCACCUGGGAAGUACGGCCGCAAGGCUGAAACUUAAAGGAAUUGGCGGGGGAGCACAACAACGGGUGGAGCCUGCGGUUUAAUUGGACUCAACGCCGGACAACUCACCGGGGACGACAGCAAAAUGUAGGCCAGGCUGAAGACCUUGCCUGAAUCGCUGAGAGGAGGUGCAUGGCCGUCGCCAGUUCGUACUGUGAAGCAUCCUGUUAAGUCAGGCAACGAGCGAGACCCA